AAGGAGCUGAAGAAUACAACAAAGCAUCAAUGGAAGCGAAUGGUGGGAUUGGGUAGAUUUUUCAGGGAUCAACUUGAGUCAUUUUCUGAGAAAUUUUUACUUUCACUACAUUUGAAAACACAUUUGUACUUUGUACUCCUUACUGUGGUCAAAUAAGCCCGAUGCGUUUUUGGAGCUCUGAGAAUGAGAACACUUUGUAAAAAUACGACAGCGUAAACAAAUAUCAAGUCAACAAUGAUGGAGAGCAUGAUGUUCUAUUAGGUUUAUUAAAAAAAUAAAUAACAGACAGCAGCGACAUGGGGGCAUGUGAAUCAGGUAGUGUAUGACAAAGACGCAACAAAUUAAGGGAAACAAAAGAGAAUGAUUCAUGGCCGUUAUGUUCCACCCUAAAAACCACCCUGUUCUCAUGUUAGAAAAGUUUCCUAUAACCUGAAAAUAACAGGUAAAGUGUAUUGUUUCAGUUAUCAUGAGCUAACUUUCCAUCUUUUUUGUUUUGCUCAUGCAGCACCUGUUGCGUCAGAAUUAAAGGCACUGUGGCAAAGCUGGCCCAUAUUUCACUCCCAAAAAACCGAUGUGUUUUUUUUUCCAUCAGGAAAAUGAAAGUAGCGUGCAUUUUCAAUGUUAUCCAUUUAUUUUGGAAUGGGGGGGGGGCACCAUAAAGUGUACCAGGAAGGAUUGCCGAGCCUCAGUAACUAACUCUGCGACAGCCCCACAACUUCGGCUCCGGAGCAGUGUGGCCAUGGAUUCUGGCUCAAGUGUGUGCGUUGUGUUUUACCUUCUGAGGAGGGGCGUCACCAACAUGGCGGUCAUCAAAACAAGGGUGGAGAUGGUGAGAAGUACCGCGAGGUUAAUGGAACCUCCACGUCGCGUCUCCACCAGCCUGGCGGCGCUCCGGAUCCCCGGCCCGCACCGUGUGAAUCCGGACACCUGGACCCGCUCCCGAUCCUCGGCGUAGUGGAUCACAUAGCCCAGCAGGAACCCGCGCCGGUUCUCCUGCGAGAUAGACGACCAGCGUAGCUCCAGAGAGGACGACGUGACGGACACCACGCUGACGUUGGAAGGAGCGCUCACCGGAGCUAACAGGAAACAGGUCUUGACGCAACAGCACUGUAGCGCUAUUUGUUGCUUGUGUAUCAAUACUGUACUGAAAUGGAUUCAUACCAUCCCGAUAUCUCUAUUUGAUAUUGGUGUAUUUAUACUGAGAUCACAGUAUUGGUAUCUGAUGCUGCCGUAUCGUUACCGAUACCUAAUUGACAUUGUGUAGCAAUGGCCAUAUUACUAAUCAAGCGUGGUGUAUAAAUAGUGAUAUCCAGAUGUCUAUAUCAUAUGCCAGCAUUUCGAUACCUUCAGCACGGCUUUGCUCCAAAAUGUAUGUGUAUCAAUACAAAAGUCGCAGUCUUCAUAUUUGACACUGCUGUUUAGAUCCUGAAACCGCAAUGUUGCUAUUCCAUACUGGUCUAUCAAUACUGAACUUACACAAUCACUAUUUGACAAUGAUUUGGCAACGCUGACAACAUGAUAUCACGAUGCGAUGGUGGUGAAUCAAUCGCAAGAUCGCUGACCGAGAACACAGUACUGCUCUUUAAGGCUAUCGAAACUAAGACUGUGAUAUUGCCACGCGAUAACACUUUAAGUGCUGGUCUUACGUGACAUAGAUCACUAUAUGUCUACUGGAUGCAGUUGCCUCGACACGGAGAUUGCGAAAUCCACAUUGAUACUUGAUAAAUAUUUU